CCUACGGGAGGCAGCAGUAGGGAAUCUUCCACAAUGGACGAAAGUCUGAUGCAGCAACGCCGCGUGAGUGAAGAAGGGUUUCGGCUCGUAAAGCUCUGUUGGUAGUGAAGAAAGAUAGAGGUAGUAACUGGCCUUUAUUUGACGGUAAUUACUUAGAAAGUCACGGCUAACUACGUGCCAGCAGCCGCGGUAAUACGUAGGUGGCAAGCGUUGUCCGGAUUUAUUGGGGGUAAAGCGAGUGCAGGCGGUUCAAUAAGUCUGAUGUGAAAGCCUUCGGCUCAACCGGAGAAUUGCAUCCGAAACUGUUGAACUGGAGUGCAGAAGAGGAGAGUGGAACUCCAUGUGUAGCGGUGGAAUGCGUAGAUAUAUGGAAGAACACCAGUGGCGAAGGCGGCUUUCUGGUCUGCAACUGACGCUGAGGCUCGAAAGCAUGGGUAGCGAACAGGAUUAGAUACCCCAGUAGUC
rnacentral:rRNA from 1 species